GUGUGAGCUGGCAUUCCAUAAAUGCUUCGCGAGAUACCUGGCCGAUGGGUUUACAUGUGACAGAUCAGUGUGAGUUUUCUCAGCUGAAGGAGUACAGAUGCAAGGAAUGCUCCUGCUGGAAUGUCUCACUCCUCAGGGGGCUCCAGUACACUUCAAGGUCAACCAAUGGCCUGGUGUGCUAGCAGUCACCUCCUUCCACUACCAGAAUCAUCACUGUCCUUGCGCAAUAGCAGCAGGCUUCCCAGGCUCCCCAAAUUUCAGUGGAACCACCAGGGACUUAGUCCAUUCCAGAAACAUCUGCAAUUUGAAAAUGUAAAAGCCUUGAAGACAUCUGCAGUUUCUUCAGAUGAACAUGUAGAGCAAUCAUAUUGCUAUAGUUCCCAAGGAGACUUGCUGAGAUUCCAAAACUUCCAGGAGUGUGGAUUGAAUAAAUUUCCCUUACCAACUCUUUCCCCUUUCCUUUCCAAAGAAGGUUACGGCCGUCUACUUUUAAAGGCAUCCUAUUAUACCUCUUUUACAAGCUGUAAUAUGUAAUAAAAAGUCUCAGGUGAGCCCAGAACAUGUCUGUGAAGUGUCAGCUCAUAAUACCCCACAUAUCAUUUAUUAUAGCUAACCAUUCUGGAAUGGAGCAUAAGGUCUUUUUUGGUGCACUUUGUUUGCUGCUAUACAGCAUCACAGGUAUAGUUUUCACCAAGUUUUCUGCUACUAAGUGCAAUUAUUUAAAAAAUGAGUUAAAGGGGUCAUAUGAUGUUGCUAAAGAGAACAUUAUUUUGUGUAUUUGGUGUAAUGCAAUGUAAUGUGUUUAUGUAGUUUAAGGUUCAAAAAACAUUUACACAUAACAUAAAACAUUAUUUUCACAUAACAUAAUGUACAUUAUUGUUUCUCCUCUAUGCCCUGCCUUUCUGAAACGCGUCGAUUUUUUUUACAAAGUUCAUCGGUCUGAAAAGCGAGGUGUGCUCUGAUUGGCCAGAUAUCCAGUGCAUUGUGAUUGGCCGAAUACCUCAAGCGUGUGACGGAAAGAUUAUGUCCCUUACCAUACUGUGAUGCCGUGUCCCGGCGCGAUGAGACAAAAACAAUAAAACCCAUUACAAACGAGGCAUUUGUUGCAUCCAGUGGGGACAUAAUAACGGAUUAUCAUGACUUGUAUUGUCUUUCUACACAUUGCGUAUCGCGACACAAACACAAAACCAUUUGUCUGCAUUUGUGAUCGGAGAAACGAAAAACAACUAGCGCUACUCUACACUGCUCAAAACUCAUGUUUGAAUUCAUCAGUAGCCAAUUCUUUAAAUAUGAAAACAUGCAAGUUGUGAGUCAAAAGAGCCUGCAUUGUAGGCUCAGGGAACAGUCCUCCAUUAAAUGUGUUGCGCACACACACAAAUAUUUGGUUUGAACUGUUCUGGAACAGUGUUGAAAAUACAACUUAACCACUGAUUUCUAGUUGUGUCCUCUUUUGGAAGGCCAAACAAAGUAGUUUCGCUUUCACAAUGAAACACACAGCUUCUCCACGACAUGGCGGCGGCAAGCAAGAAUCAAAGUUACUCCUUUCUUUGCGUGGGUGGUGGGGAACGUCGUGGGAAAGUCAUGGCCUAAUGGUUAGAGAGUUUGACUCCUAACCCUAAGGUUGUGGGUUCGAGUCUCGGGCCAGUAAUACCACGACUGAGGUGCCCUUGAGCAAGGCACCGAACCCCCAACUGCUUCCCGGGUUCCGCAGCAUAAAUUGCUGCUCUCUGUGUGUGUGUGUGUGUGUGUGUGUGUGUGCGCACUUUGGAUGGGUUAAAUGCAGAGCAAGAAUUCUGAGUAUGGGUCACCAUACUUGGCUGUAUGUCACGUCACAAACUCAUGUCACUUUUCAUUUAUGUAAAUCUUCACACAGUAACUUAGACAUGGGGGUGCAUUUAAAUGAGACAUUUUAGGAGGGCAUGGAUGAGUCUUAAAUUAAGAAUAUCUCUUUGGGUUUGAGACUUAAGUCUUUGCCACUUUAGGGAUCUUAUCUAUGCACAAACAACUUGUAAAAGAAAGGAAAACUUGAAAUCACAUCAUAUGACCCCUUUAAAUUAAUGUGAACAGAUGAGCUCAACACAAACAUAAAAUCAGUUUCCCUAUGGAGAAAAUGAAUGGAGUUUUUAUUUCCGGAACCAGAUUGUUGUGCUCUAUACCUCAUUCUCCAUAUAGCAACAACAAACAAAAAUGUUUGUUUUCGAUUAUGAUCUCUCUCACACUUAUUUAAUGUUGCAGUUUUACAUCAUAAAAUGUUUAUUCUUUCAUGCAUUUAAAAAUCCUUGUCAGUUUAAACUUCUUAUACAUGUUUUUUUUUUUUUUUUCUAAGCACACACACAAAAUGCAUCCACCAAAAGAUGGCUCUUUCGCCUUAACUGUCAAAUACACACAGUUGGUUAUGUCUGUGAACGUAAACCGCAAUGUUAGAUCUGAGAAACGGUGGCAGCAACACACUACUAACACAAUUCAACCAAGCCUGCCCAGGCCUUAUGUUUUUAAGAAUACUUUGGGCAGGAAUUAUUUAAAUUCAGGAUAAUGUGGCAUGUGUGUUGCUGGAAGAAAACUCAGGACUAUAUUUGAAGCAUUUAAAAGAGUUCAAAAACGGUGUUUACUUUAUAUACAGAAUAACUCCCUUUGGAGUGAAAUUCGUGCUUUGUAUAAUUGUGCACACCUUUUUCAUGCACACACAGUAACAUUAUCCACUAAAGGAAGCUGAAAGUGUAAAACAGCAUAAUAGCACCCCCU
ensembl:lncRNA